GAUGAACGCUGGCGGCGUGCCUAAUACAUGCAAGUCGAGCGAACGGACGAGAAGUUUGCUUCUCUGAUGUUAGCGGCGGACGGGUGAGUAACGCGUGGAUAACCUACCUAUAAGACUGGGAUAACUUCGGGAAACCGGAGCUAAUACCGGAUAAUAUUUUGAACCGCAUGGUUCAAAAGUGAAAGACGGUCUUGCUGUCACUUAUAGAUGGAUCCGCGCUGCAUUAGCUAGUUGGUAAGGUAACGGCUUACCAAGGCAACGAUGCAUAGCCGACCUGAGAGGGUGAUCGGCCACACUGGAACUGAGACACGGUCCAGACUCCUACGGGAGGCAGCAGUAGGGAAUCUUCCGCAAUGGGCGAAAGCCUGACGGAGCAACGCCGCGUGAGUGAUGAAGGUCUUCGGAUCGUAAAACUCUGUUAUUAGGGAAGAACAUAUGUGUAAGUAACUGUGCACAUCUUGACGGUACCUAAUCAGAAAGCCACGGCUAACUACGUG
rnacentral:rRNA from 1 species